rnacentral:lncRNA from 1 species
GGGAUAACUCAAGGAGGUUUUUCAUAUAUAAGAACUACAAUUUGUGUUCAGCAACUGAAUUAGGAUGGUUUGUCGUGGUGGACUUCUAUGGUUACACUUGCAAUUUUGACACUGCAAAUAAUUACCCAGUGUUUAGAUACACAGAAAGAUACGGUCGGUAGUUUCGACUAUAAUGGUAGGUAUAUAUACUUAUUAAACGAGUGUAUACGAUGUGAUUUAUAUACUUAUGUAAUAUGUGUAUACGAUGUAAUUUAUAUACUUAUGUAACGAGUGUAUACGAUGUAAUUUAUAUACUUAUGUAGCUAGUAUAUACCAUUUAUUUAACAAUUAAGUCAAACUAGCAAUUGGAUAUCUGGUGCCUUUUUGUCUGUUCAAAAUAAUGUUCUUCAUCGAUACGUUUCUUAAAUGGUUUGAAUAAAUGGAGGUGUAUUUUACGUAAUUUAGAAUGCAAAAGCUUCACGCUCCUAAGUUAACAUUAAAAAAAAGUAUUUAUCGAGAAACAUGAGUUCAAUUAUUUCUUAUAAAAUUGUCGACUAAAGACAAAUGUACAUGAUUUUCAAAUUAUUAUUUUAUGAGUAGUCAGAUCAUUGUUUUGGUAUGACGUCGCUAAAGAUGAUAAGAUUAUAACUCAGACGUCUCAAAACUAAAGUGCCAUCUUUAAAAGCAAUUAUUUCUGUCUUGAUAUAUAAAUACGAUACUAGAACUUAUUCAUGAGUACAUUAACACUAAAACUUGCACGAUACGUUUUUCUAGUUACCAAUGAUAUUUAAACAAAUCACCUGCAAUUGUAACGAAAAGCUCAACUGUAAAUCAGCUUACAUUUUUCGAAUAAGAUAGACACUUUUGCCACUAUUGAAACAAAUGUGUAUACAUCGAUAAGAUAUCAAUAGUAUUCAGAACCUGCAUGAGGAUUUUUUUUAUCUAAAACAUAGCGCAACAAUUCAAUGCUAUGUAUAUAAACUCAUCAUAGAUACCAGGAGUAAAUUUAGUAUAUGCGCGUUUCGUCUACAAAAGACUCAUCAGUGACGCUCGAAUCCAAAAAAGUUAAAAAGGCCAAAUAAAGUACGAAGUUGAAGAGCAUUGAGAACCAAAAUUCCUACAAGUUUUGCCAAAUACAGCUAAGGUAAUCUAUGCCUGAGGUAGAAAAUCCUUAGUAUUUUAAAAAAAUCAAAAAUUUGUAAACAUUAAAUUUAUAAAUAUAACCAUAUCAAUGACAAUUCAAUGCUAUGUAUCAUUUCUGAAAGUCCGUGUAAAUGAUCUGGUAACAAGGAAACUAUGAUGAAAAGGGCGAAAAGUAAAGCAAAAGUUAACAAAUUUCAUAGACACAAUUCGCCGUUUCAAAUUCCAAUGCACCCUGGGAAACAUUUUCAAAAGUGUGCACCGAAACGUCGUGAUUGGUUAAUAAUUUCAUAAUCAAUGUCAUUAACCAUUGACGUGACGUUAUUUCAAUUUUGAGGUACGAACGAUGAAAUUACCCAUGAUUUUUAAGAUUCUGAAUUAAGUUGACCACAGAUAUACCUUUAAAUGAUGUCAUGUCCUUUUCAUCAGUGGUCGUGACACCACCAACUGCCUAUCUUUACAAGACAUUAUCAGUAGAGCGGGUUCCUUUAGAGCAUCAUACCUUUUAGUUUUAGAAUGAGCCAAAAAGAUAUUUUUUAAGAACAUAUCAUCAGUCAAUAAAGAAAACAGUAAUAUGCCGCUGAAGUAUACGACAUAUGCUCAUAUCUAAUUUUACACAAAGCUAUGUUUUUGACAAAGUUUAAGCGCCACAAAGAAAUUAGUCCGAAAAUGUACAGAUAAUGAUAUACUAUUCAUUUAUGAAAAUAACCAAUCUGAAAUUUAAAGAUUUGAAGAUAUCUUUUUUUUUUUUUUUUUGCAACUCCAGGGGUAAAGUCAUUUAUUUCGUCAUACCUUCUCCAUUUGAAAGAAAAAUAAAUAAAGCGAAAACAAUUGAUCCACACACUGUUACUAUCAAAGACAACGCAGAUAAAGUAAAACCGCACACGAUUCAACACUGUAGCCAUUUCAUCCACUGUGAAAUAAGAGUACGAUUGAAGGGAUUAGGAAGUAUCAGCUGUUGAUGCUCGGCCAUCAACAUUCAUUUUCAUUCAUAAAAUUAUACCUUCUAUUUCUUUUAUUAAUUAGGUCCUUUCACUUUUCCGUGGAAAGACCUAUUGGUUUUCUUCUGAUUAUUUUUUCUUUUUCUUCCGCCUAAGUUUUUCCUUCGCUGUUUUUUUUUUGUUUCACAAGAUGUUGCUUAGAUAUUUGGAAUGUGAUAUCGAACAGUUAAUACACUUUUGAAACUGACACCGCUUAACCGAAUACUUUCCCAUAUAAGAGUUAUCUCCCCGAACACUGUUUUUCUUGUGAUCUAUAAAGCUUCGCAACCGUAUAAGAAACAGACAAAUUUAUUUUAUCAAAUUGCUCGUUAUAUCCUCAGGAUGUUCUGUUUGAUUUUGACCGAAGUCGUAUAUAGAUUUCAUAUGAGAGUUUCCCCCCUUUUAUGUUUGAUAUAAGUAAUAUGCAUUUCUAACUGGUAAACCAUAAGUGAUAGAAACCUAGGGUCUUUAGAUUUGAUGUCCUUAGUCCAAAAAAAUGAAGAUUACGUCAAGGUCAAAGGUCAAGGUCAUUUUCUAAAUUUUGAUUUUGGCUUAUUUUCACUUAUUUUCAAUAACCGUAAAAGAUAUCAACAAAUUAUUUUUACCAAAUUGUUAGUAGCGACAUGUCGUAACGUUUAAAUAUUAAUUGAGAGGGUUGACUGUAAAUGGGAGUUUUCUCCCCUUUAAUAUUUAGAAUAAUGUGUUAAGUGAUAUAACUCAUUAUCCUUCCAUAUUAUCGACCUAGGGUCUCUUGAGUUGAGGUCCUUAGUUUAUGACCUUGAAAUUGAGGUCAAGGUCAUAGACAAAUUCGACGUUCUAGAUUUUGACUUUUGCUUGAAAUUCAUAUUUAUACAUCAUAAAGCCAUAGGAAUUGACAUUGAAACUGAAUUUCAAUGUUUUCAUAUCAAAAUAUAUUGUUAGUGGUGGAAAGACCUUCAAUUGUUCUUUGAACAAUUGGUUUUUAAUUGUAAUUGUAUUUUUUUCACAGGUUACCAAGAUGGAGACGUAUUUUCGAUUUUCAUUUC